GGCUUCAUGGUCGAGUGGUAGGAUGCUUGCCUCUCACCCUGGAGUCCUGGAUUCAAUUCCCGGUCGAAGAGCUA